GGGUAGAUAGCUUAAUGGGAAAGCUUUUCGCUAGCACCUUAACAAAGAGUUGUUGAUUGCAAGUUCGAAUCUUGCUCUAUCCACCA
rnacentral:tRNA from 1 species